CCUACGGGGGGCAGCAGUGAGGAAUAUUGGUCAAUGGCCGGAAGGCUGAACCAGCCACGCCGCGUGAAGGACGAAGGUGCCAAGCAUUGUAAACUUCUUUUGUCAAGGGACAAAAUCAGGCUCGAGAGCCUGACCGAGGGUACUUGAAGAAAAAGCAUCGGCAAACUCCGUUCCAGCAGCCGCGGUAAUACUGCGGAUGCGAGCGUUAUCCGGAUUUAUUGGGGGAAAAGGGUGCGUAGGCGGACUGUUAAGUCAGCGGUAAAAGCGCGGGGCUCAACCCCGGCGAGCCGUUGAAACUGGCUGGCUUGAGAUGUGGAGAGGUAUGCGGAAUGCGCAGUGUAGCGGUGAAAUGCGUAGAUAUUGCGCAGAACACC
rnacentral:rRNA from 1 species